rnacentral:rRNA from 1 species
CAUUACUGAGUGAGGGCCCUCUGGGUCCAACCUCCCACCCGUGUUUAUUGUACCUUGUUGCUUCGGUGCGCCCGCCUCACGGCCGCCGGGGGCUUCUGCCCCCGGGUCCGCGCGCACCGGAGACACCAUUGAACUCUGUCUGAAGAUUGCAGUCUGAGCAUAAACUAAAUAAGUU